rnacentral:rRNA from 1 species
GAUGAACGCUGGCGGCGUGCUUAACACAUGCAAGUCGAACGAAGCAGUUCUUUUGGAAGUCUCCCAGCUUGCUGGGAGACGGACAUGUGAAUUGACUGAGUGGCGGACGGGUGAGUAACGCGUGGGUAACCUGCCUCACACUGGGGGAUAACAGUUAGAAAUGACUGCUAAUACCGCAUAAGACCACGGAAUCGCAUGAUUCUGGGGUAAAAACUCCGGUGGUGUGAGAUGGACCCGCGUCUGAUUAGUUAGUUGGUGAGGUAAUGGCUCACCAAGACGUCGAUCAGUAGCCGGCCUGAGAGGGCGACCGGCCACAUUGGGACUGAGACACGGCCCAAACUCCUACGGGAGGCAGCAGUGGGGAAUAUUGCACAAUGGGGGAAACCCUGAUGCAGCGACGCCGCGUGAGUGAAGAAGUAUUUCGGUACGUAAAGCUCUAUCAGCAGGGAAGAAAAUGACGGUACCUGACUAAGAAGCCCCGGCUAACUACGUGCCAGCAGCCGCCGUAAAAC